GAUGAACGCUGGCGGCGUGCCUAAUACAUGCAAGUCGAGCGAACGGACGAGAAGCUUGCUUCUCUGAUGUUAGCGGCGGACGGGUGAGUAACACGUGGAUAACCUACCUAUAAGACUUGGAUAACUUCGGGAAACCGGAGCUAAUACCGGAUAAUAUUUUGAACCGCAUGGUUCAAGAGUGAAAGACGGUCUUGCUGUCACUUAUAGAUGGAUCCGCGCUGCAUUAGCUAGUUGGUAAGGUAACGGCUUACCAAGGCAACGAUGCAUAGCCGACCUGAGAGGGUGAUCGGCCACACUGGAGCUGAGACACGGUCCAGACUCCUACGGGAGGCAGCAGUAUGGAAUCGUCCGCAAUGGGCGAAAACCUGACGGAGCAACGCCGCGUGAGUGAUGAAGGUCUUCGGAUCGUAAAACUCUGUUAUUAGGGAAGAACAUAUGUGUAAGUGACAGUACACAACUUGACGGUACCUAAUCAGAAAGCCACGGCUAACUACGUG
rnacentral:rRNA from 1 species